rfam:Xenorhabdus beddingii strain DSM 4764 Xbed_11, whole genome shotgun sequence.
UGGUCCCACCUGACCCCAUGCCGAACUCAGCAGUGAAACGCCGUAGCGCCGAUGGUAGUGUGGGGUCUCCCCAUGUGAGAGUAGGGAACUGCCAGAC